GCGAAAAAUCAUUUUCUACAAAAUUCGUUUCGUUGUCGAAGUCUGUUGAUUUUGUGGUUCUUUAGAGCCUUAGCCGUGCGUUGAGACUGACUUGGAUGGGAAGAAUUCGCAGCGAAACGACGCUGUAAUGAUUUGUGCGCUGAGUUGUUGUUGUAUAGAUUAACAGUGUUGUGUUCCUUAUCAGUGUUUUGAAUUAUUCUAGCACUUGAUACUUGCCCGCGGUAAGCUGAUAACGCUACAUAAAAAUGUUUAUUUCGUCAUUUUCAGUGACAAACGCGGCGCUCCGGCAGAGGCAAGGUUAUCGCUGGGUGCGCCAAAGUGUCAUUGCUACAUGUAAGCCCAAGCCUUAGGGCUGUAAUACAUGAGAUGAGGAGAAAUACUACUUUCAUGUGGCUUCGAAGAAAUCGUGAUCUGCUUAUUUGUACAUACCUAUACUGCAAAAUGGGAAAGAUCACAUUCACUUCACAAGAGAGGAAAACGAAUAGAACUGAAGCUGACUACUAAACUUCUGUAGAUAUUGGUAAAGGUAAUUAAAGUAACGGUACAAAAACAAUACAAUAUGGAUGUCGCCAAAAUAGAAAACCAUCUGUCAAUAUGAACUUCAGAGGUUGGCAAAUAUCUAAAUUCUCUUGAGGUAUCAAUAUCAAAAAUUGUCUCUUUACCUUGAACGCAAAAUUUUCUUUCUCGAAUUCUCAAUGUGUAAGCGGAGUGGCGCUUUGGCUUAUCAGCGAAAUGCUUCUGUCUGCGUCAGCUUCUACGAUGCCAUUAACGAAUCGGUUGCCUUGAAAACGCAAAUGGAUUGGAACUCAACUGAUAGGCAAGGGAGUCUAGGCUUAUUUUGCUGCUACAAAACAUUCAACCACACACACACACAAAAAUACUUAUUUUGUUGAAAACAACAACUUUUACAGUUUUGAGGCUAUCAAAACACACAGUGCUGCGGCGAGUUCAUUCACAGAUUUAUUCGCUCGAAGACUGAUUAUCGCUUCUAAGUUACAUAAAGAUCAAAACUGAUUAAGACAAAAUGCACUUUUACUUUUUAGAAUUAUUUUACUGAGCGUUCUCCGCACGUGUAGUUAGUGUCAAUGUUCUAAACCUUUGGUUGAACGAGAGCCAAUUUGAAACAAGUGAACUCCUGAUACAUCCACACACAGGCGUUGCGGUUGCGUCGCUGCCUCAGGCAGUGCUGUACGUCUGCUCCAGCGGCGGGUACGUCCAAUUGGGACGUCAGCGCCGGUAUGUUCCACUGGCGCGUUUGCUGGCUGUACAGUUCCAAGCGGUCGAUGAUGCAUUUGGUGAAGCACGGUAUGGGCUCGCGCACCGGGUUUUUAGCGUAGUCUUUGACGCGCUCCCAUUCGUACUGAUCUGAGCGAUGCAGACAGUCUUUCAUGGCCUUUUUCGCCUCCAAGCUGACAUUCUUCAUGCUCUCGAUUAGCACGAAAGGAUCAUUCUCCAA